GCGGACCUUUCGGGGUCAGCGGCGGACGGGUGAGUAACGCGUGGGAACGUGCCUUCCGGUUCGGAAUAACCCUGGGAAACUAGGGCUAAUACCGGAUACGCCCUUAUGGGGAAAGGUUUACUGCCGGAAGAUCGGCCCGCGUCUGAUUAGCUAGUUGGUGGGGUAACGGCCUACCAAGGCGACGAUCAGUAGCUGGUCUGAGAGGAUGAUCAGCCACACUGGGACUGAGACACGGCCCAGACUCCUACGGGAGGCAGCAGUGGGGAAUAUUGGACAAUGGGCGCAAGCCUGAUCCAGCCAUGCCGCGUGAGUGAUGAAGGCCUUAGGGUUGUAAAGCUCUUUUAUCCGGGACGAUAAUGACGGUACCGGAGGAAUAAGCCCCGGCUAACUUCGUGCCAGCAGCCGCGGUAAUACGAAGGGGGCUAGCGUUGCUCGGAAUCACUGGGCGUAAAGGGCGCGUAGGCGGCGUUUUAAGUCGGGGGUGAAAGCCUGUGGCUCAACCACAGAAUGGCCUUCGAUACUGGGACGCUUGAGUAUGGUAGAGGUUGGUGGAACUGCGAGUGUAGAGGUGAAAUUCGUAGAUAUUCGCAAGAACACCGGUGGCGAAGGCGGCCAACUGGACCAUUACUGACGCUGAGGCGCGAAAGCGUGGGGAGCAAACAGGAUUAGAUACYCUGGUAGUCCACGCCGUAAACGAUGAAUGCCAGCUGUUGGGGUGCUUGCACCGCAGUAGCGCAGCUAACGCUUUGAGCAUUCCRCCUGGGGAGUACRGUCGCAAGAUUAAACUCAAAGGAAUUGACGGGGGCCCGCACAA
rnacentral:rRNA from 1 species